rnacentral:rRNA from 1 species
AACCUCCGCAAUGUGAGAAAUCGCGACGGGGGGAUCCCAAGUGCCAUUCUUAACGGGAUGGCUUUUCUUAAGUGUAAAAAGCUUUUGGAAUAAGAGCUGGGCAAGACCGGUGCCAGCCGCCGCGGUAACACCGGCAGCUCUAGUGGUAGCUGUUUUUAUUGGGCCUAAAGCGUUCGUAGCCGGUUUGAUAAGUCACUGGUGAAAUCCUGUAGCUUAACUGUGGGAAUUGCUGGUGAUACUGUUGAACUUGAGGUCGGGAGAGGUUAGCGGUACUCCCAGGGUAGAGGUGAAAUUCUGUAAUCCUGGGAGGACCACCUGUGGCGAAGGCGGCUAACUGGAACGAACCUGACGGUGAGGGACGAAAGCUAGGGGCGCGAACCGGAUUAGAUACCCGGGUAGUCCUAGCCGUAAACGAUGCGGACUUGGUGUUGGGGUGGCUUUGAGCUGCUUCAGUGCCGAAGGGAAGCUGUUAAGUCCGCCGCCUGGGAAGUACGGUCGCAAGACUGAAACUUAAAGGAAUU